rnacentral:rRNA from 1 species
AUUGAACGCUGGCGGCAGGCCUAACACAUGCAGGUCGAGCGGAUGAAGGGAGCUUGCUCCUGGAUUCAGCGGCGGACGGGUGAGUAAUGCCUAGGAAUCUGCCUGGUAGUGGGGGAUAACGUCCGGAAACGGGCGCUAAUACCGCAUACGUCCUGAGGGAGAAAGUGGGGGAUCUUCGGACCUCACGCUAUCAGAUGAGCCUAGGUCGGAUUAGCUAGUUGGUGGGGUAAAGGCCUACCAAGGCGACGAUCCGUAACUGGUCUGAGAGGAUGAUCAGUCACACUGGAACUGAGGCACGGUCCAGACUCCUACGGGAGGCAGCAGUGGGGAAUAUUGGACAAUGGGCGAAAGCCUGAUCCAGCCAUGCCGCGUGUGUGAAGAAGGUCUUCGGAUUGUAAAGCACUUUAAGUUGGGAGGAAGGGCAGUAAGUUAAUACCUUGCUGUUUUGACGUUACCAACAGAAUAAGCACCGGCUAACUUCGUG